rnacentral:lncRNA from 1 species
GAACCCCACAAACCAUACACCAAACCUCAUGGACCAAAUCCCAUGAACCAUAAAUCCAACCUAAUACCCAUAUCCCAUAAACCAAUACCCAAAUUCCAUGAACCAAUACCCAGAUCUCAUACCCAUAUCUCACGAACCAAUUAAACUCUAAUACAUAGAGUUUAAUAUCGAUUAGGUCUUAACACAUAUACUUAGGGCCUAAUCAAACUCAAAUUCAACUGAAUCCUAAUACGUAUAUUAGGAUUCAAUAAACCUAGAUAUGAUUCAUUCAAUCCCAUCUAUAAAGGUCUCUUAAUCGAAGGUGCCCCAAUCUACAGAGGGUAAUUAACAGUAGAUGCUUGCAUUUAUUGGAAGCCAUGGACCCGCAAUACCUGAUACCCACAUAUACAUAUAAAUACUCAUCUGAAUCAUGAAUACUACCCCACCGCCCCGAAAAAUCCAUCGACCGUGCGAGGUGCGUCAUUCGU